CAAGUCGAGGGGGCAGCAAUGUCACCGGCGAACGGGUGCGUAACGCGUAUGCAACCUGGCCAUAUCAGGGGGAUAGCCCUAGGAAACUGGGAUUAAUACCGCAUAAUACAUUAAACUGCAUGGUUUGAUGUUGAAGGAUUUAUCGGAUAUGGAUGGGCAUGCGUAGGAUUAGUUAGUUGGCGAGGUAACGGCUCACCAAGGCGAUGAUCCUUAGGGGCUCUGAGAGGAGUAUCCCCCACACUGGCACUGAGAUACGGGCCAGACUCCUACGGGAGGCAGCAGUAGGGAAUAUUGGGCAAUGGAGGCAACUCUGACCCAGCCAUGCCGCGUGCAGGAAGACGGUCCUCUGGAUUGUAAACUGCUUUUGAAUGGGAAGAAACGUAGCUUUGCGAAGCUAUUUGACGGUACUAUUAGAAUAAGCACCGGCUAACUCCGUGCCAGCAGCCGCGGUAAUACGGAGGGUGCAAGCGUUAUCCGGAUUUAUUGGGUUUAAAGGGUGCGUAGGCGGCUUUGUAAGUCAGGGGUUAAAGGCGGCAGCUUAACUGUACGCAUGCCUUUGAAACUGCGAAGCUUGAGAUACUUGGAGGUAGCUGGAAUUCCCUGUGUAGCGGUGAAAUGCAUAGAU
rnacentral:rRNA from 1 species